CCCGCAAGGGUGAGUGGCGGACGGGUUAGUAAUACGAUCGAACAUACCUCGAGCUGGAGGAUAGCGGCGGGAAACUGCCGGUAAUACUCCAUGUCCUCUCCGGAGAAAAGCUUUUGCGGCUUGAGAUUGGCGAUUGUCCUAUCAGCUAGUUGGCGGGGUAAAGGCCCACCAAGGCGAAGACGGGUAGCAGGUGUGAGAGCACGACCUGCAACAUCGGGACUGAGACACUGCCCGGACUCCUACGGGAGGCUGCAGCGACGAAUCUUCUGCAAUGGGCGAAAGCCUGACAGAGCAAUGCCGCGUGUGGGAUGAAGCGUCUAUGACGUGUAAACCACUGUCAGGGGGCGGAACCAAUGAUUGCCCCCAGAGGAAGAGCCGGCUAACCCUGUGCCAGCAGCCGCGGUAAUACAGGGGGCUCGAGCGUUACGCGGAAUCACAGGGCUUAAAGGGUGCGUAGGUGGCUCGCAAAGCAUUACGUGAAAGCCCCGGGCUCAACCCGGGAAUUGCGCGAUGUACUGGCGAGCUUGAGGUAUGUAGGGGUUGACGGAACAGUGGGUGGAGCGGUGAAAUGCGUAGAGAUCCACUGGAACGCCGAUGGUGAAGACGGUCAACUGGGCAUAUCCUGACACUGAGGCACGAAAGCGUGGGGAGCAAACAGGAUUAGAUACCCUGGUAGUCCACGCCGUAAACGAUGAUGACUGGACCGGUGCGGGUCUUACCCCGUAUCGGUCGAAGCGAAAGCGUUAAGUCAUCCGCCUGGGAAGUACGGUCGCAAGACUAAAACUC
rnacentral:rRNA from 1 species